CGCCCCUUACCGUCCCCGUCUAUGCCGUGGUGAUCCCGGACCUUGGGCCUGCAGCUGUUUACCCGCGAUUUUUUGAACAAGGGCUGCCUCCACACACCCCUACAGAAAGCCAUCAAGAAGGGGUGGACUAAAAAGGAACAGAACAAGGAAAAACCAGAAGUCAGAAGUGGUUCCCUCAGGGAUAACCACAGAGGAUAAAGAAAAAGACUCAAAAAACACAGUGAUUUUUUGGUUCAAAAAUGAUGAUGAUGAAGGAGGGAGGAUUCAAUACAUCACGCUAUACCUGUGUCUCAAAGAUAUUUCAAUAAAGAUUAGUGAUAUGGA